rnacentral:rRNA from 1 species
UCUGGUUACUGCGAUGGAGGGACGGAGAAGGCUAGGCCAGCUUGGCGUUGGUUGUCCAAGUUUAAGGUGGUAGGCUGAAAUCUUAGGUAAAUCCGGGGUUUCAAGGCCGAGAGCUGAUGACGAGUCGUCUUUUAGAUGACGAAGUGGUUGAUGCCAUGCUUCCAAGAAAAGCUUCUAAGCUUCAGGUAACCAGGAACCGUACCCCAAACCGACACAGGUGGUCGGGUAGAGAAUACCAAGGCGCUUGAGAGAACUCGGGUGAAGGAACUAGGCAAAAUGGCACCGUAACUUCGGGAGAAGGUGCGCCGGCUAGGGUGAAGGAUUUACUCCGUAAGCUCUGGCUGGUCGAAGAUACCAGGCCGCUGCGACUGUUUAUUAAAAACACAGCACUCUGCAAACACGAAAGUGGACGUAUAGGGUGUGACGCCUGCCCGGUGCCGGAAGGUUAAUUGAUGGGGUUAGCGCAAGCGAAGCUCUUGAUCGAAGCCCCGGUAAACGGCGGCCGUAACUAUAACGGUCCUAAGGUAGCGAAAUUCCUUGUCGGGUAAGUUCCGACCUGCACGAAUGGCGUAACGAUGGCGGCGCUGUCUCCACCCGAGACUCAGUGAAAUUGAAAUCGCUGUGAAGAUGCAGUGUAUCCGCGGCUAGACGGAAAGACCCCGUGAACCUUUACUGUAGCUUUGCACUGGACUUUGAGCCUGCUUGUGUAGGAUAGGUGGGAGGCUUUGAAGCGUGGACGCCAGUUCGCGUGGAGCCAUCCUUGAAAUACCACCCUGGCAUGCUUAGGUUCUAACUCUGGUCCGUAAUCCGGAUCGAGGACAGUGUAUGGUGGGCAGUUUGACUGGGGCGGUCUCCUCCUAAAGAGUAACGGAGGAGUACGAAGGUGCGCUCAGACCGGUCGGAAAUCGGUCGCAGAGUAUAAAGGCAAAAGCGCGCUUGACUGCGAGACAGACACGUCGAGCAGGUACGAAAGUAGGUCUUAGUGAUCCGGUGGUUCUGUAUGGAAGGGCCAUCGCUCAACGGAUAAAAGGUACUCCGGGGAUAACAGGCUGAUACCGCCCAAGAGUUCAUAUCGACGGCGGUGUUUGGCACCUCGAUGUCGGCUCAUCACAUCCUGGGGCUGAAGCCGGUCCCAAGGGUAUGGCUGUUCGCCAUUUAAAGUGGUACGCGAGCUGGGUUUAGAACGUCGUGAGACAGUUCGGUCCCUAUCUGCCGUGGACGUUUGAGAUUUGAGAGGGGCUGCUCCUAGUACGAGAGGACCGGAGUGGACGAACCUCUGGUGUUCCGGUUGUCACGCCAGUGGCAUUGCCGGGUAGCUAUGUUCGGAAAAGAUAACCGCUGAAAGCAUCUAAGCGGGAAACUUGCCUCAAGAUGAGAUCUCACUGGGAACUUGAUUCCCCUGAAGGGCCGUCGAAGACUACGACGUUGAUAGGCUGGGUGUGUAAGCGUUGUGAGGCGUUGAGCUAACCAGUACUAAUUGCC